GUGCCAGCAGCCGCGGUAAUACCGGCAGCACGAGUGAUGGCCGAUAUUAUUGGGCCUAAAGCGUCCGUAGCUGGCCGGACAAGUCCGUUGGGAAAUCCACGUGCCUAACACGCGGGCGUCCAGCGGAAACUGUCCGGCUUGGGGCCGGAAGACCCGAGGGGUACGUCCGGGGUAGGAGUGAAAUCCUGUAAUCCUGGACGGACCGCCGGUGGCGAAAGCGCCUCGGGAGGACGGACCCGACAGUGAGGGACGAAAGCCAGGGUCUCGAACCGGAUUAGAAACCCGAGUAGUCC
rnacentral:rRNA from 1 species